rnacentral:rRNA from 1 species
UACGAAGGGGGCUAGCGUUGCUCGGAAUCACUGGGCGUAAAGGGUGCGUAGGCGGGUCUUUAAGUCAGAGGUGAAAUCCUGGAGCUCAACUCCAGAACUGCCUUUGAUACUGAAGAUCUUGAGUUCGGGAGAGGUGAGUGGAACUGCGAGUGUAGAGGUGAAAAUUCGUAGAUAUUCGCAAGAACACCAGUGGCGAAGGCGGCUCACUGGCCCGGUACUGACGCUGAGGCACGAAAGCGUGGGGAGCAA